rnacentral:rRNA from 1 species
UGGGGAAUUUUGGACAAUGGGCGAAAGCCUGAUCCAGCCAUGCCGCGUGCAGGAUGAAGGCCUUCGGGUUGUAAACUGCUUUUGUACGGAACGAAAAGACUCUGGUUAAUACCUGGGGUCCAUGACGGUACCGUAAGAAUAAGCACCGGCUAACUACGUGCCAGCAGCCGCGGUAAUACGUAGGGUGCAAGCGUUAAUCGGAAUUACUGGGCGUAAAGCGUGCGCAGGCGGUUAUAUAAGACAGAUGUGAAAUCCCCGGGCUCAACCUGGGAACUGCAUUUGUGACUGUAUAGCUAGAGUACGGCAGAGGGGGAUGGAAUUUCCGCGUGUAGCAGUGAAAUGCGUAGAUAUGCGGAGGAACACCGAUGGCGAAGGCAAUCCCCUGGGCCUGUACUGACGCUCAUGCACGAAAGCGUGGGGAGCAAACAGGAUUAGAUACCCCUGGUAGUCCACGCCCUAAACGAUGUCAACUGGUUGUUGGGUCUUCACUGACUCAGUAACGAAGCUAACGCGUGAAGUUGACCGCCUGGGGAGUACGGCCGCAAGGUUG